rnacentral:rRNA from 1 species
UACGGGGGGGGCAAGCGUUGUUCGGAAUUACUGGGCGUAAAGGGCUCGUAGGCGGCCAACUAAGUCGGACGUGAAAUCCCCAGGCUCAACCUGGGAACUGCGUCCGAUACUGGAUGGCUUGAAUCCGGGAGAGGGAUGCAGAAUUCCAGGUGUAGCGGUGAAAUGCGCAGAUAUCAGGAGGAACACCAGCGGCGAAGGCGGCGCUCUGGGCCGGUACUGACGCUGAGGAGCGAAAGCGUGGGUAGCAAACAGG